AUACUUUCCUGGCAGGGGAGAUAGCAGGAUAGUGAAGGUGGUUUUCUCAGAGUAAGACAGACUUAUCAUCCAAUGCACUCCAAAUGUGCUGACCGAUCCCUGCAUUUUCCACAAAUGUAGGAAAUUCAACUACACAAUUUACGGUGUUCGUGUGUGUGUGGGGUCAUUCACAUUUUUCCA
rnacentral:snRNA from 1 species